rnacentral:rRNA from 1 species
AACGAACGCUGGCGGCGCGCCUAAUACAUGCAAGUCGAGCGAGAAGACGUAGCAAUACGUUUGUAAAGCGGCGAACGGGUGAGGAAUACAUGGGUAACCUACCCUCGAGUGGGGAAUAACUAGCCGAAAGGUUAGCUAAUACCGCGUACGCUCCUUGGACUUCGGUUCAGGGAGGAAAGCGAUACCGUGGGUAUCGCGCUCUUGGAUGGGCUCAUGUCCUAUCAGCUUGUUGGGAGGUAACGGCUCACCAAGGCUUCGACGGGUAGCUGGUCUGAGAGGACGAUCAGCCACACUGGCACUGCGACACGGGCCAGACUCCUACGGGAGGCAGCAGUAAGGAAUAUUGCGCAAUGGGCGAAAGCCUGACGCAGCGACGCCGCGUGGGGGAUGAAGGUCUUCGGAUUGUAAACCCCUUUCGGGAGGGAAGAUGGAACGAGCAAUCGUUCGGACGGUACCUCCAGAAGCAGCCACGGCUAACUUCGUGCCAGCCGCCGCGGUAAU